GGGCUUUAAGCAUGGCUUAAAGACCUCUCAACCUUGUGUCUUCGGUCAGGCGCUGGCCGGCUAGGGGUGGACGGACUCUUAAUCCGUUGGUCGAGUGUUCGAGUCACUCAGGGCCCACCA
rnacentral:tRNA from 1 species